GGUGGCUCAGUGGUAGAGUGCUUGCCUUGCAUGCAUGAAGCCCUGAGUUUGAUUCCUCAGCACCA
rfam:Dipodomys ordii contig_66340, whole genome shotgun sequence.